GGUUUCCGUAGGUGAACCUGCGGAAGGAUCAUUACGUAUUAGGGCUGCCCUUCGGCGCUCUUUACACACCCACCCUUUGCCUAUGUGUACCUUUCAUAGCUUCCUCGGCGGGCUCGCCCGCCGCCAGGAACCCACGAAACCCCUUGCAUCCUACAUGAAAACUUCCGAUUACAAACCUAAAUUAUCACAACUUUCAACAAUGGAUCUCUUGGUUCUGGCAUCGAUGAAGAACGCAGCGAAAUGCGAUAAGUAGUGUGAAUUGCAGAAUUCAGUGAAUCAUCGAAUCUUUGAACGCACAUUGCGGCCAUAGGUAUUCCUUUGGCCAUGCCUGUUCGAGCGUCAUUUACACCCUCAAGCCUAGCUUGGUGUUGGGCGUCUUGUCCCGCCGUCUUCUCGCGCGCGGACUCGCCUCAAAGUCAUUGGCGGCGGUCGUGCCGGCCCCUCGCGCAGCACAUUUGCGCUUCUCGGAGGCCUGGCGGAUCCGCGCUCCAGCAAGACCUUUUCAUGACUUGACCUCGGAUCAGGUAGGGAUACCCGCUGAACUUAAGCAU
rnacentral:rRNA from 1 species